ensembl:lncRNA DUBR DPPA2 upstream binding RNA
GCAGACAGCCCGGCGAACCGCGCAAUGCGCUUCUUCUGCCUGCAGCAGAGAAAAGGAAAGAAAACUCCGCAGGGGCUCCGUUGGCUUCUCCACGAGUGACAACCAUGUUUUCCCAGAUAGAAGACCGGAGCCCUGCUCCUUUGCGAUCCGCCGAGGGCUGCAGAGAGCAUCCUCAUCCAUUUGGGCACCCCUGCCCAGGAAGAGCCCGGCCAUCCCUUUCCGGACUGGAUCCUUAAGAGGUGAAUUUUCUUCCGUGGAUUCCGAUUUGCUCCGUCUGACCAGCCUAGGCAAUCCAGCAUCGCGUGGUACCAGUGCCGCUGGGCACACUGGCUUCACGCCGGCUCCGCCUCACCAGCAAGCGCAUUCCCAGAUGGAGUCUCACUCUCUCGCCCAGACUGGAGUGCAGUGAAGCAAUCUCAGCUCACUGCAACCUCCACCCUCCCGGGUUCAAGUGGUCAGGCUCAGGAUGGACCAUGAGCUUUCAAAAAGGAAAAAGGUGGAAAUCCUCAACUAUGCUGCCAUCUGAAUAAGUGUUUCUUUGUAGAUGCACAGAGUCAAGGAAAAUUACAUCCCUGCAUUAUGUAAUGUACCAACAACGCACUUACCCACUGUUUUAAUCUAGGUUAUUCUUGAAAGCAGAGCCUGAGACAAAGGUAGACACAUUCUAUUUAUGAGUCUAACACCCAGGAGCAGGAAUGAGAGAUAGGGGAGUGAACUGGGGAAAAGGGAAACUAAGUCCGAGCAAAACCAGAUACUGCUCUUAUCAAGUGGUCCACCCCUAUUAAUGGCUACAUAAUGCAGAACUUUCUCAGGAUUCUUCUUAAACUUUAUCUCAGAACUGUCUGCCUCAGGGAGAAAGGAGAAGUAUUUCUCCAUCAGCAGCCACCUCCUGUGUGUUGAGGGCUGCUCCUUUGGGGCAUUAACCCACUGCCUCCACCACCCCAACCCUCUGGGCUGCAAAGAGCUAGCUGACAGUCCAGCUGGUACCUUAGCAUCACACAUUGCUGCAUCAGAGAGGUCUUAAGACAGGAAGCUAGAGUCUUGGUGCAUGCUCGAAGUGAGACGGUGUCAGCACAGAGCAGGGUAAAAUCUUCCCGUUAACUCUUCACCAGAGCUAUGACUGGAAUCAGAGGUUGAAAAGAUGUGAGACUGUACCCAAGAAGCAUCUUAUAAGCCUACGUAAUAUACUGUUAGACUCAUCGAAAUCUAUUUCCUCCCUUCUUUAUAAUCAAAACUUCAGUGUCCAGAAUAAAGUUGGCAGAAGGGUUAAAUUGGAAAGUUAAAUGUACUAGAAGGUGUACAUUUAUAAGUUUUGACCUUGAGUCGUGUUCAAGGAGAAAGUGACAUUGGAACUUGGAAAAUUUAAAAAUGAUUCUACUUGAAAAAUUUGACCAUUGCAUAGAAAUAUUAGCUAUCGUCUAAUCUUUUGUAAUCUUAGAAACAAUCGUGAAUUGUUUGGUGAAAAAUGAAAAAAUAA